GCUCAAAUAGUUUAAAUAAAAUGUUGGUUUGUGGGACCAAAGAUAUAGUUUUCUAUUUUGAGCA